rnacentral:rRNA from 1 species
GGGAGGGGCGCAAGCGUUGUUCGGAAUCAUUGGCGUAAAGCGAGUGCAGCGGUUCGGCAAGUCGGGGUGUGAAAGCCCAGGGCUCAACCCUGGAACUGCACUCGAAACUGCCGGACUAGAGUCCCGGAGAGGAUGGCGGAAUUCCCGGUGUAGAGGUGAAAUUCGUAGAUAUCGGGAGGAACACCAGUGGCGAAGGCGGCCACCUGGACGGCGACUGACGCUCAGACUCGAAAGCGUGGGGAGCAAACAGGAUUAGAUACCCUGGUAGUCCACGCCGUAAACGUUGGGUGCUCGACGUCGCGGUAUUGACCCUGCGGUGUCCAAACUAACGCGUGAAGCACCCCGCCUGGGGAGUACGGCCGCAAAGGCUA